UCAUACUGCAGUGGAAUUUCAGAUGCUUGCUCGUUUGUUAGUUUUGCAAAUGAAGCAGAUAGAUAAUUAAACUUCCAUACUGCAUUGGAAUUUUCAGAUGCUUGCUCGUUUAUUGGUUUUGCAAAUGAAGCAGAUAUCUGGUCUCAAAGAUCUUAUAAUUCAGAUCACUUCAGUUGAAUCUCAGUUCCAGGUUUUGGAGCACACAGGACUCUGAUACCACUAUGGGUCUAUUUUCAGCUUUUUGUCAUCAUCAUAUGUUUUAUCACCUGAUACUACCAUUGCUGUGGGUUUCUGCAGCCUUUAUACUGGGGGCUUCUCUAAAGUAUGCUUGCAGAGCCUCUCCUGCAGCCUUUAUGUUGCCGAUAUCUAAACUUGGUUCUUUAAUCCAAUAUAAUCGCUUUUAUCCUUCAAAAACAAACAUGUAUGGUGAAUGAUUGUUUGGCAGGGCACGGGUACCAACAGCUGGCUUACAUCAUGUCAUGGAAAAGCUUUGCGAAGAGCUUCAUGUCGGUGCAUUGUCUCCCUUAUCUGGUUUCAGAAACCCCUUUUGUUUUACUUGCCUCGGGGGCAGAAGCCACCGAGCAUGUCACGUGCCACCUCGUCAGUUCUUGGUUUAAUGUCAAGGUAAAUGUAGGUGUAGCCACUAGGAAACCCCCAACUCCUCAAUUCACACGCGAUAGGAGCAGGCGUGUCAGGUUACAUGGCAAAAUAGAGGCGGCAAAAUUUUGUAAUAAAAAUGCUGAAAGAGACGGGGAGAAUAAUUUAGGUUUAUGGUGGAAAGGAGACGGAGAUGGCUCAGCAACAGCACAAAAAUAUGCAGUUGCAGGUGACUUGUGAUUUGGAGAGGAGAGUAGAGGAGUUAGAACGCAGUCAUGCGGAGUUGCGAGAGGAUGUCGAAACGCUUGCGCGGAUUCAUCAGCAGAUUAUUAACAAUCCCAAUCCCUUCUUGAGAAUAUUGCAAUUGAUGGGCCAUGCUGUCUUCUUGUUCGCACCUUCAUCUCGGGAGAUCACCUUUUGGUGCGUUCUCCAUUCCCAUUCUAUUCUUUUCAUUUACAGGAAUCAAUCAGCAGAAGCUCUAUAUGGAUGGAAAGACUAUGAAGUUCUUGGGAAGGAUUUUAUUGAGUUGCUUGUUGACAAGAGCGAGUAUAAUGUUGCUAAGGAAAUUCUUAGAAGGUUAUGUAUGGGGUUGUCAUGGGCAGGACUAUUUCCUUUAAAGAAGAAAUCAGGUGGGAUAUUUACAGCAAUGGUAACGGACACACCAUUAUAUGAGAAUGGUGUAGUUGUAGGUGUGAUUACCGUGUCGAGUGAUGCUUUUGUCUUCAGAAAUGCCAAUAAUAUUUGCAUUUCUGGCUACAAUCCAUGUGGCAGGCAGAACCUUGGCUACAGCCCGGCAAUGCUUCCUGGCUUAGACAAGCCAAAGGUUGAACAGAAACAGCCUUUGCGUAAAACAUCUACAAUAUUAAAGAUGGUUAAAAAAAUGUUAUCAUGCUUGAACAUAGAGGAGGAAAAUGCUGAUCUUCAUGCAGCUUAUAAGUACAAUGAAGGACUGGGACAAGACUGUGCUCAAGUGGGGGCCUUCACAAAAGUGGUAUUAGGCGAUCCUUCAAGCCUGCCUUCUCUUCAGAUUAAGAUUGAUUCAGAAAGUGCAAUUGCUAGUCAUCUUGGAAGAGAACAUGGGCCUGUGCAUGCAGCACAAUCGGCAGAUAUUGCAGCAAAACCCUUAUCCGAUUUGUGCAUUGAAGAAACCGGCAGUAAUAUUCUAGCCAAAUAUGGAAGUGAUGUUGGCUUAAAUCAAGAAAAUACUAAUCCUUCCAAGCUGUUAUCCAAGUUCAUCUAUGGUGAGGAAGACAAUGAACUUAGAAUGACAACGAAAAUCCAACAAAAAAUAGACCAAAGAUCUUUGCAAGCCAGUCCAUCUCCAAAACCUGAACCAGAGGUGCUGUCAAGGCUAUUGCCAGGUGAGAGUAGCAACAAAAAUGACCCAAGCACUGGUGAUGCAGAAAGAAUACAAGAGAGUGCUUGCUCAAGUUCGUCAAAACUGGCAUCAAAGAUAUAUUCAGGACUUAAACAGGAGAAACUACUCCAUUGUCAGCUUGGCGAGGAUGCAACAGACAAGGAUGAAUUUUACAGUACAAAGUUAGAAGAGAAUGAAUCACUCCCUGUCUUGAGAAUUGGACCCAACCCUCCGAGAAGUAGUCUGAAGACUAGUUCCAGACAUAUUGAAACCAUAUUGGAUCCAACAACCAGCAAAGAAAAUGAACUUGAAGAAAAAGGAUUGGAGAAAAUGUCUGAGCUUAAGGUCAUAUCUAAAGAUUGCAACCAAGGUGAAUUUUAUAGGGAAAGAUCAGGACUGAAUAAUAUUAUUGGAGGAAAAGCAGAAUCCUCAUCUAAUGAAAAAGAUUUCAAAAGACACUGGCUGGGAUAUGGUGGUGAUUCUAGGAAACACAUCCAAAGAGACAAAUGCUUGUUACAAGGCUCUGGGAAUGAGAGGAAGCAAGGACAGCCUACCGAAAGUAUGUUGAAUGAGAAUAUCACUAAUGAUGAUAGCAGCAGCUGUCCACAUGCAAUAGGGGAAACUGACCUGAGCUCUGAAGCAGAUUGUGAAAUAUUAUGGAAAGACCUUGUUUUGGGAGAACAAAUUGGAAAAGGUUUCUGUGGUGUGGUCUUCCAUGGACUAUGGCAUGGCUCGGAUGUUGCGAUCAAAGCUUUUAAUGGACGUGAGUAUUCUGAUGAGGUUUUGCAAGGCUUGAAAAAAGAGGUCUCUAUAAUGAAGAGAUUGAGGCAUCCAAAUGUGUUGUUGUUUAUGGGAGCUGUAUAUGCACCUGAACAUCUUGCUAUCGUGACAGAGUUAUUACCAAGGGGGAGUCUCUUCAAAAUCCUGCAUAAGAGUAAACGGAACUUGGAGUUAAGGCAUCGUUUAAGAAUGGCAUUAGAUGUUGCUCGAGGAAUGAGUUAUCUGCAUCGUCGAAAGCCUCCAAUUAUACAUCGAGACUUAAAAUCAUCUAGUUUACUUGUUGAUAAAAAUUGGACAGUUAAGGUAGGAGACUUUGGUCUCUCACAAUUAAAGAAUGCUACAUUCUUGUCCACAAAAGUAGGAAAGGGAUCUGUAAGAGAUACUGAACUUCUGAUUCAGCCAAACUGGAUGGCUCCUGAAGUUCUUCGUAAUGAGUCAUCAAAUGAGAAGUCUGAUGUAUAUAGCUUUGGGGUUAUCCUGUGGGAGUUAGUGACUAGUCAGAUUCCUUGGGAUAAUUGCAAUGCUUUGCAGGUGAUUGAAAUUGUAGGAUUCAUGGAUUUUCGGCCAGAGAUACCUGACGGAUUAGAUCCAAAGUUGACUGCACUUAUUUGCGAUUGUUGGCACAGUGAGCUUUCACAACGGCCAUCUUUUGAAAGUAUAGUACAGAGGAUUGUGGAAUUGAUAAGGUUGCAAAAUGCAUUGAGAAAGUGUAAUACAAAGGACGGUAGCAUUGGUAAGGUUGAAACACACAGUGAAAUGCUAUCGUGAAAGAAAUACAGAUUUCAUGGAAAUAACAGAGAUGUAUAUAACAUGACAGAGGAAUAUAAGAAAAUGUAGGACAAUAUUAUGUGAGCUUCUUAUAGCCUCUCGAGCAAUGCACAAUGGACCUUCAUCCACACUACGGACAAAUCAGAAGUUGAACCUACGACUUGAACUACUAAAGAUAAUAGCCGAAACAAAUGAGCUAACCCUAAGGUCACAAAUAGAUUAUUGAGUAUUGAGUAGCACCUUCAAAUAAUGUCUACAAUCUAAUGUUUCAUGAGGGCAGUAGGUAGACUUUAAUUGUCUUCUAAUAUAUAGGGAGUUAUAUAAGUUAUAUUAAAUUGAUGCAUCUGUUGGAAUAAUUGACUAUAUAUUUUUUUAUAUCAUAUCCUCAUUCUACUUCUCAUAUAAGGAGUUCGUACGUACAUAAGACUCGUGCCACAAUGUUACUUUGUGCUGUGUUAAAGAGUUGCCAAACAAUUGGCUAUUAUGUCAAAAUAAAAAUAAUGAGAGAUCAAAUUUUAAUGUAUGAAUUUAUAUCCUUUGAAUUGAACAUGGCUUGUGUUUUUGCUAUGGAAUGCUAUUUCAUA